rnacentral:rRNA from 1 species
UACGGAGGGUGCGAGCGUUGUCCGGAAUCACUGGGCGUAAAGGGCGCGUAGGUGGCGCGAGGAGUCUGUGGUGAAAGCCCGAGGCUCAACUUCGGGUCGGCCGCGGAUACUCUCGUGCUGGAGGGUGGUAGAGGCCAAUGGAAUUCCGGGUGUAGCGGUGGAAUGCGUAGAGAUCCGGAAGAACACCGGUGGCGAAGGCGGUUGGCUGGGCCACACCUGGACACUGAGGCGCGACAGCGUGGGGAGCAAACAGGG